rnacentral:lncRNA from 1 species
GAGCAAGGGCCGGGAGAAGGAGCGGUGACGGACCGCGCGCCCAGGGGUACUGGGAGGCUGCGCUGGGCCCCGGGCAGGGGUAAAGUUUCCUUGUCCGCCCGGGGUUCCAGACGUGCCUGAGUCAGGGAUGGGGACCUCGGGGUCACUGCGUGCGACUGGGGGGUCCCGGAGCGGGUCUGACCUCCCUCCCCACAUCUCCAGCCUGGGCGCCCGCUGCCUGCCUGGAGGGGUGGGGGCGCGUCUAGGGGAUCCGGCUCAAGGAGAGGCGCCCCUAGCACAUCUGGGUUACUCCAUCGCGCCAGCCGGUGUCUGCAGCCUGAAAAUCUCUGGUCUUGUUCUCCCGCUAGCCGUUCAGGACUCUCUCCGCCUGCAGCCCCCGCCUCCCCCGGUACCUCCGCCAGGAUCCAAGAGGCGUCCAGAGGGGAGCCCAGGCCCUGCGCCCGCCUUCUGGCCCAGGCUUCCACGGGGUCUAGCGGUCUCAAGCCUGCGGCUCUCCCUGGUGGAUUCCCGCAGGUGAGUUCGCUCUGAGAGCUCAGCCAGGGCCAGCAGGCAUGUCCCUCCCGGAGCCAGGGGCCAGGCCAGGUCAGCUGGAUGUCCAGGGCUCUGGCGACACAGCCCUGUGGCCAAGUGCGCACGCUCCCACGCAUCUGUCCAACCUCGCCGGCUUCCCCUUUGGAUUUGCUAAUGCAGCAAGAUUAAUCGGGUCUAACUCAUUAAUUUGCACAGCCCCUCCCUUCACCUGCGCCCGCUGGAGAGCGCUGGUUGUGGGAACCCAGUAAUCACCAAGGCUGAAUUAGAUUCCGACUCUGCGUCCUGGCCCUUGCCUCUGCUGCUCCUGAAAUUUCUGCUGCAAGGGAAACAAAAGCUCUGGGUUCAAAGUCCAGUGAGACCAGAUUUGGGGGCACAGUUCUUCCUUGGCCUGAGUCGCCCUAGGGGGCUUGCGGGUGGGUUUGGGGACACAGCCAGGCCCUUGCAGACACCAGCCCCCCACCCCCACCCAUGUCAC